UACAGAGGGGGCAAGCGUUAUUCGGAAUUAUUGGGCGUAAAGGGCGCGUAGGCGGCCUUUCAAGUGACGGGUGAAAUCCCUCGGCUUAACCGAGGAACUGCCUGUCAGACUGGGAGGCUUGAGACCGGGAGAGGUGAGUGGAAUUCCCAGUGUAGCGGUGAAAUGCGUAGAUAUCUGGAGGAACACCGGUGGCGAAGGCGGGAUCCUGGGCCAGUACUGACGCUGAGGAGCGAAAGCGUGGGGAGCAAACAGG
rnacentral:rRNA from 1 species